rnacentral:rRNA from 1 species
AUUGAACGCUGGCGGCAUGCCUUACACAUGCAAGUCGAACGGCAGCACGGGGGCAACCCUGGUGGCGAGUGGCGAACGGGUGAGUAAUACAUCGGAACGUGCCCUGAAGUGGGGGAUAACGUAGCGAAAGUUACGCUAAUACCGCAUAUUCUGUGAGCAGGAAAGCAGGGGAUCGCAAGACCUUGCGCUUUAGGAGCGGCCGAUGUCGGAUUAGCUAGUUGGUGAGGUAAAGGCUCACCAAGGCGACGAUCCGUAGCGGGUCUGAGAGGAUGAUCCGCCACACUGGGACUGAGACACGUCCCAGACUCCUACGGGAGGCAGCAGUGGGGAAUUUUGGACAAUGGGCGCAAGCCUGAUCCAGCCAUGCCGCGUGAGUGAAGAAGGCCU